CAGUCAAAUCAGAUUGAAAAUACCGGUUCUCCUUCGAUCACUGAAGUUAAGCAACGUCGAGCUCGGUCAGUACUUGGGGGACCCCUUGGGAACACCAGGUACUGUAA